GGAAGUAAAAGUCGUAACGAGGUUUCCGUAGGUGAACCUGCGGAAGGAUCAUUGUCGAAACCUGCCCAGCAGAACGACCCGCGAACUUGUAUAAACAACCGGGGGCGGGGGGCGUUCUCGCCCCGUGCCCCCGAACGGCGGGGAGACACUCGUGCCUUCUUGCCGAACAACGAACCCCGGCGCGGUCUGCGCCAAGGAACUUCAACUAAAGAGUGCCUCCGGUCGCCUCGGAAACGGCGUGCGUGCCGGGGGCGAAUCUUGUGCAAAACCAUAACGACUCUCGGCAACGGAUAUCUCGGCUCUC
rnacentral:misc_RNA from 1 species